rnacentral:lncRNA from 1 species
AGGGAUCUCUGGUGCGCUGAAGGGGGAGGGUGGUGCUGGUGGUAACUGUCCCGGAGGUGGAGACCCGCCGACUGGAGGCGAGAGGCGGCCGUGGGGCAGUUUGGGCAGCGCCGCUACAUCUCUCAGGAAUUGGGACGGGGAAAAGUGGAGGAGGGGGAGGGGAACUCUUUGUUUGCAGUUGGAAUGCGCGGAGGGGCACGGUGGAAUGUGACGGUCCCGGACGGGGCGACGCGAGGCAUGUUCUGCGCAAACAUCGUGACUUUGUUCCUACUGUGGGGACUGUGGGAGAGACGGAGAGAGACUGGCACAGAAGUAGUGAGACAGGGAGAGUUCCAUAAAGAGGGGGACAGGGAAAAAGAAAGGUAGAUACACAAAGAGGCUCAGAGACGCGUAUGUGAAGAACCCAGAAGGGCGAUGAAACCCAUGUAGAGAGGUGGAAGACAGGUAGCGAAAGAAAGGGCGAGCCGGAGCAAACGGGAUCGUGGGUGGUACGGAGACCGAAAGAUGAACAGACUAAGAAAAAGAAAAAUUUAUGCAUGUCCGGACAGAAUGAGAGACCUACGAUAAUCUGCAAUAAAAAGACACCACUUUCUGAACCCAAAGCUCUGCGACGGUAGGGAGAGAAGGACCUUUAGGGGCUACGUAAAAGGAGUGGGGAAAAGGGUUGGGGCUAAUCUCUACCUUCAGGGUGGGACAGAUACAGGAAUAGAGACACCCCCUGGUGUUGGGAAAUGAGAUUUUUAGCAACUAUUUCAGGUGACUAUGGGGAUAGAAGGACUGGUUUUAGGGCUAGCGAAUGCCUCCCCCUUGGUUGGCCCACAGGAGAUUGGUGAUAAAGAGUAAGUAUUAACUUAGGAAGAAGAAGAGAAAUGUCCUUUAGACGAGCUAGCAAGUGAAAAUGAUCAGGGUGGAAAAGGGAAAGAGGCUUCUAAUAUGGGCCACACUGGAAGGAUCAAGAACAAGGAAAGAAGGAAAGGGGGGGCUGAAACUGAACAUACCUAAUUAAAUACCAGUCAACUGAUUUUGCCCUGACUAGCACAUCAGGCGCAAGGGGUGGAGGAGGUAGAAUGGAGAAGGAAAAUGAUUCUUUUGUAUUUAGAUAGUAAAUGAGUAUGAAAAUUAUAUGCAAACAAAUCAUGCAUAUUAUUUUCAUUUCAACAUUUUGAACACCUUUCAUAAUCUUAGUGUAGCCUUAGGGAAUGGUGAAGCAAAGGAGGUUAAUAUCUUUGGGGAAAUUAAUUUGGCACAAACUAUUUGGCUUCUUUGUCCUAGCUGCAUUGUCUCCCUGACCUCAUCUCUCGGGAGAAUCAGCCUCUCUGUUUCCCUAUCAGGCCUACAGCUCUUCUCUGAUCCGGAGGAGAGUUCACUAUCAGACCAGAAGCAGGGAACACUGAAAGCGUUAGUAACAGAGGGGAGCUAUCAGGUUGCAUCCAGAACCUGCUGUGAGCAACAUCUUCAGAAUUAACCAUAAGGCUCUCCCUCCUUUCCUGUCUCCAUAUGGAGAAGGAAAACCUGGAUUCUUCCUUCCUAUUACUUACAACCAGAAUAUCCACAGAGCCUCUCAUAUUUGGAAGCUUUCCCCAUUUAUAGUGAGGAUGGGAGACUGAAUCUCUUAUGAAAAGUUGAGGAGCCUUUGGUGGUGGCAGCAGUGGGCACAGUUGGGAUCAAGCACCUGUAUUUUCAGGGGAUAACAGGAAACAGAGACAAGUGAAGGGGGAGAGGGAUGCACUGAGGGCAUACUCCGGUAGUGCUCAUGACCUCAGGGUAAUCACUCUUUUGGAGCCAGGAGCUCCACCAGCCCUGUUCUCCCUUCUCAAGACUUUAAUUAUGAACUAUGUACACAGAUGGCUCCCAAAUCCCUAUCUGUAGCCCAGACAUUUUUUUUUUUUUAAGGUAAGCUCUAUGCCCAACAUGGUGCUUGAACUCAUGACUCUGAGGUCAAGAAUCCCAUGCUCCACUGAUUAAGUCAGCCAGGUGCCCCUUAGCCCAGACUAUCUUAGACUUAAAAACUCAGCUGACUACUAUCAUCUCCACGUGGUUGUCUCAAAGGCAUACAACCCCCUCAACUGACUAUACCUUCUCUGCCUCCUGAAAUUGGCCCCUCCAGCAUCCCAAGUAAACGGCGCCAUUAACCACUUAGAUGCUUAUGCCAGAAACCUGAACGUCAACCUUAUGUCCUCCUCCCUCAGCCUUAAGUCCAAGCCCUGUCAAUCACCAAGUCCUUUCAGUUCGGCUUCCUAAAUCUCUUUCAAAUCCCCUCACCAUCACUUUCUGUCUAGCCACCAUCUCUUCUCUCCUGAACCACUGCAGGACAUCCCCCCCUGCCCCCGCCCCCGCAAGGCUUUCUCCCUGCAAUCCAUCUUAUCCCCAGGGCAAGUGAUUCUUAUCAAACACAGAACUGACCAUCUCAUUUCCCUGCUUACCACCUUUGAAGGAUUUCUCAUGGCCUUUGAACUAAAGUCUAUACUCUUCAAGAUACUUGACAAGGUCUCUGGGUCUCUCCAGCUUUCCUCUGCACCAACUCCUCCCCAUCUUUCAGGUAUUACUUUAAACAGCACUCUCUGAGAAGCGUUUCCCCACCACCAGCGUAGGUGAGCCAACCCUGCUGUCUGCUGCCGCUACACCUUCUGCUCCCCCAUCACCACCCUUAUCACAGUUCAUUUCACUGUCUACUUAACUACCUGGCUUCCUGAUUAGAUAAUAAAACCUAAUCGGCAUCUAACCUGAUCCACAGUGUAACCACAGCACCCAAGACAGUACCUGACACCUAGUAAGCAAUCAGUAUUUGUUACAUACUGACUGAACAGAAAGCCAUUUUUACUUCACAAUCCAUUAGUAAUGCACAAAGUUUGGGUGUGGAUGUGUGGGGGUGCACGUGUGGGUGUGCGCGUGCGCGCGCACACACGCACACACGCACACACACACACACACCCCUUCCUCAAAAUAUAGUUUGGUUGACAGGACUAAUAGCUACAAAGCCUCAUAUACUGCUUGGUCACACAGUGGGAGAGCAGCUGCUAGUGACACAUGGGAACUCUUUAAGCUUUAAUUUCUUCAUGUGUAAGAUGGGAAUAAUAAAAUCUGCCUUAUAUAAUUCAAUAAACAAUAGCUAUUAUAUCUGUUUCCCAAUUCCCAAAUAGAGACACAGCCGUGUUCUGCUCAGAAGCAUCAAGCCCAUGGCUGAGACUGCCCACCAGGUGGCAGUAUUAUCCUGGACUGGUUCUGUUCGGCUUCCACUGCAGAGCCAGACCAGCAGUCAUGGGGAAGCAGAAGGUACAACCAGGGCUGCUUCCCCAGAGCUUUGAGUGAAACCAGAAAAAAAACCAACUCAGAGACUGGGGCAGAUGUCAAGAAGGCCUCAUGUUUCUUAGACCCAUCCUUCUCCUUUUUUUCAGCUCAGGCUCCCCGAGGCACUAUUUAUGCUUAGAAAUAAGCAUUUUCUGGCUUGCCAUUCACAGUGGGGGGCGGUUUUCCCCCUUCUAGAUAAGUCUUUAUCCCAGCACAGCUGCUGGCUUCCACUUCCAUUGGGGACUGUGUUAAGAAGAGAGACAGAUUUGCUUUCUCAGACUGCAGAGGACAUCUUGUUAUUCUGGGAAGCCCCGCGGCCAUCCAUUUCUGGGACAUGGGGAGUGGCAGAAGCCAGAGUUAUUCUUGGUUAUAGAUUUCAUUCAUCCUUUUCCACUUUGAUUUCAAUGAAGGAGUUCAAGUCAGGACAACAGGUUUUGUGGGGUUGGUCAAAAGAUGGGGAGACAGGUCCAUUCUCAUCACCUCCCUCAUCUUCCUCUUCUUGGAAAUUAGGAUUAUAAAGUUCUGGUGGAAGGAGCUGGGCCUCAGCAGAAGGUAAUCGGUCUGAGGGAGGUCCAUACACACGGUUGGCUUUUGUGCCAUGCUUAGAGUUGGCAUCCAGGUGGUAGCAGAGUUCCGUGAGGCGCUGGGCCCGGAAACGGGGAGGCCGGGCCACCCAGACACCUGGCUCAUUAAGACUGUCCUCUUCGUCUGACAUCAGCUCUUCUGUCACAUCCUUCCAUAGGCGUUGGUCCUCAGGUCCAAAAUGCCUCAUGAUGCUGGAUCGGUUGGCAAAAAGCUAAGGUAGGAGCCCAGGAUAGAGAUUAGGAAGAGAGACAGACUAAGGAUUAGAUUUGGGGAGAGGAGUUCGGGUAGGAAAGCUGUGUAAAAUCUGUGCCUGAGAGAACCUAGCCCCCCUCCCUCCUCCUCUACCUGCUAACAUUCCUGGCUCUCAACCCUAUUCUCAGAUGCCAGGUCCUCUGGCCCUUCCCACUGCAGCUCAGUAGGGUUUAGCAUUUAGCAUCUUGAAAGGAAGGCCUAGAAACCUACCCGGUAUCUGCGACUUCGAAGCUUCUUCUCCUCUUUUUCCUUCAGGCCUUUAAAGGGGUUCAGGGAAUUGCGGUACUCACGCCUCUUAGUAAGGAAGUAGGCUACACAGGCUCCUGGGAGGAGGGAGAAGGGAGGGGGCAGAGAGCAGGGUCCUCUGAACCAGGUCCUCAGCCCUUUUUUCUGCCCUAACACUGUUGGCUGGGAAGGUGAGGGUCCCUCUAGAUGGUGGGCUUUCUCACAGACCCAUCAGCAGGUAUUUACUCCUCUUUGGUUUAGCUCUCUCUGCUCACCUCCAUGUCCAGCACUGACUCCACCCAUAUCUCCCCCUGGGAACACAAGUCCAAGCUUCUGUAACUCCCUCCCUGGCCCUUGACUCAAUUAAACCCACUCCCAUUCUACUCUGCUGGUAGUAGAUUCAAGUGCUUUUUCAACAGCAGCUUUCUAAAUGCUUCAGGGUUAGCUACAAGCAAAAAACAGAAGAGUAAGGAAAGUAGAAAACCCAGGACAUAAUAUUUAGGGACAAAAGGGCAGGCCUGGGGCGCCUGGGUGGCUUAGUCGGUUGAGCGUCAGACUCUUGAUCUCAGCUCAGGUCAUGAUCUCAAGGUUCUGUCGGUGAGUUCAAGCCCUUUGUUGGGCUCUGCACUGACACGUGGAGCCUGCUUGGGAUUCUCUCUCUCCCUCUCUCUCUGCCCCUCCCUCACUUGAGUGAGCGCGCACAUCUUAAACUAAAUAAAUAAAAAAACAGAAAGGGCAGGCCUGGAUUCUGACUUCCUUUUCUUUUUUUUUUUUUUACUUUUUUUUUUAACCUUUAUUUAUUUUUGAGACAGAGAGAGACAGAGCAUGAAUGGGGGAGGGUCAGAGAGAGGGAGACACAAAAUCUGAAACAGGCUCCAGGCUCUGAGCUGUCAGCACAGAGCCCGACGCGGGGCUCGAACUCACGGACCGCGAGAUCAUGACCUGAGCCGAAGUCGGUUGCCUAACCGACUGAGCCACCCAGGCGCCCCCUGACUUCCUUUUCAUAACACCCUAGAUUCAGGCCCUGCAGAAACAUCAUGCACGCUGGUUUCAGCCCUUUCCUUUUCCCAUUUUCAGUUCAAGCGGGGCAGGGGAAUAAAAAAGCAAUUAGAAACCAUUCUGUGAAGAAGAUGUGAGAAUAGCCCCAAAAUUUUAUUUUAAGUCCACUCUUUUGAAAACCACCCAAAUCAUCUCCAUUAUGCCUCUACUCUGAACAAGAACAGUGAGUGGAAAAAGGAUGAGAUGGGAGUUAAUUCAGUUUUUUCUCACCUUUCAGCUCCUUAUCAGUGUAAUUGUGGGGACUGGUCACCAGCUCCUGCUUGAGCUUUUCCAGAAGGAACUUCACUACUGAAAUAUUCCAAGAGGACUUGAUGCUGCCACAAAGAUCAUGAACAAGGCAGUCAGCAUUUUGAAAGCCAGAAAAACAGAGAUUCCUGGCAUGAAUCAACUGUGUGGUAAAUGCCCUCACGGCCAAGGGCAGGAUGCAAGGGGCAAUGGUGAGAGCAAAGCCUUAGCCUCAUUGUUACACUGGAACAGCCCUCUAGUUCCCUCUCCUUGGCAGAGUACCUUAUGAUUGUUUUCCCUCAAGGGGAUCGUACCUUUCAGACCCAUUGAAUCUCUUGUCGUUGGUGAUGUGGUUAUGCACAUUGUGGACCAAUUUCUAGGUGAAAAAACAAACACAGAUUCAAGCUGAGAGUGUAUAUGAUGGAACCCUCCUCUGUUCCCUAGGCAUUGUCUCUAUGGGGUUCUCUGCCCGAAUCCUUCCCAUAGUCUGGGCACCAUUUCUGAUGACACUCUUUCUUAGCCAGAGAGCCUAUCCAAGUCAGUACUUCUAAUGUCCCCCCUUUUUUGGUCCUUUUCAUUUAAUUUGUAUGGAGGCUCUAGGAUCAUCCCUGGUCUUACUUUUCUGUUCCUGGGGAAUAUGAUCAGUAGAGCAAAAGGUCUCAGACAUUUUCACAAACAUACUCCUUACAAAUAGCCAGGAGAGAGCAAAUAUACACCAAGACUACUGCAAGUGGACAUUUCUUGAGGCCCCCUAUUCUUGCAAAUUUUAAAGUUUUCUUUACAAUAUAUCUAUAUAUUUUUAAUCUAAAAAUGUCUUCCAAUCUUUUAGUACAAUUGAUGACCCAGGAAAAUGCCCUAGGUGUAUAUAUCCUUUUGCACAUUACCACAAGUCCCAGGGGUAUACACACCAUGGUCUGAAAAACACAAACCUAAAAUAACAGAAAUGUGAAAUGCAAAGGACCUUGGAGACUCUAUCACCCAACCUCCCUUUCACAUCAUCGAACAGGCUUUCAGCUUUGCUUACACACCUUUAAUAAUGGGUUCUCACUAGUUUUUUGGGCCAGCUUAUUUUACUGUUGAACAUCUCUAAUUGUUAAAAAGUUUUGCCUUAGACUCCAAAAUCUGACCAGUUUUGCCUAUAACGGCACCUAACAUCUUUGAAGACAGGUCUCAUGUACUCCCCAAAUCUUCUCCUAUUCAGUCUAAAUAUCCCCAAGUCCUUCAGCCAUUCCUCAUGACAGUUUCCAAACAGACUCUUCAUGAAACCAUCAGGCUCUCUGGCUUGCCAGUGUCCCUUGGACAACAUGGCACUGGGAACUGAAUCUAAUCCAUCAGCUGGGACCUGGCCAAAGGGAGCAUUACUUCCCUGAAUGGAACUCUACAUUUCUAGGAAUGAAACCCAAGAUGGUGUUACCUUUCUUAGCAACCCCACCCCUAUUCCCAAUGUCACAGGGUUCAUUCCCUGUGAGCUGUCAACUCAAGUCUACUUUUCACAUGGAUUCCUAUCUCUGCCAUUCUACAACUGCUUUGCUUUUUUAACUUUGAUGCAGAAUUUUACAUUUCUUCCUAUUAGAUUUAGUUUUGCUGUUUCUGAUUAUAUUUUUUAUCUCAAGCUCCCUCAGUCAGUGGAAAUUCCCAGUCCCAAACCGAUGGACCCAUAUACUGAUCUCAAGACCUCAGUUUCAAUUAAGAAAUCCCCAUUUACCCUUCUGCUUCUAUGACUGACUAACCAUAUCAAUUUAGGAAAUUUUUAUGGUUAGGGUCUCUACUCUAUAAAAAAGGCCUGUAAUUAAACUAGCUUCUCAUAUUUUAUAUAUUUUAUCUCUUAGAAGUCCCAACUUAAGGAAUCACAAGAGGUGGGCAAAUGCUUCAAAAAAAUUUGAAAGUGUUGCAAAAAAAAGGAAAAAAGGGGAGUUGCACAGCUUCCAAUUCAAGUGGCUUGGAAGAGAUCAGCUGAUAAAAAUCAAACCAGGCUUGAAGUGGAAAGGGAAAAUACUCCGAGACAAUAAUAAGUGUUAAGACUGUAAAGGCAGCUGGCUCACCUACCUCCUGAGUGAGCUAAAAAUAAAUAUAUUCCCCAAUGGGUAGCUGGGAUUUGCAGCAUUCCAAGAAGUCAGUGGUUCCGGUUUGGUCCUUUUGGAUCCCUAGCAGUGACCCACAGCAGCCUGAGUGGAUUGGAGAGAUGCCUCCUUGAUUCCUUCCCAGAGCUAAAGGCUGGAAGACUGAAGGCCUGCGGCUAGCCCUCUCCCUCUAAACCACAUUUUAAACCUUCCUCUGUGAUGGGCAGCAAAAUUCCCUGACCAGUCCUCCAGGGCCUUUUCAAGUAAUGUAACAGAGAGCAUGGGGAGUGAGCAUACUCUCCUCCAAGGUCCUCAGUUUCACCAGGCUCUCCAAAGGGCAGGUGGGAGCCAGCCCUCCACACCGACCUCUCGCUGGAGGCAGUAGGCUGGAGAGGAAUGGAAGUGGUCG